GAUGAACGCUGGCGGCGUGCCUAAUACAUGCAAGUCGAGCGAACAGACGAGGAGCUUGCUCCUCUGACGUUAGCGGCGGACGGGUGAGUAACACGUGGAUAACCUACCUAUAAGACUGGGAUAACUUCGGGAAACCGGAGCUAAUACCGGAUAAUAUAUUGAACCGCAUGGUUCAAUAGUGAAAGACGGCUUUGCUGUCACUUAUAGAUGGAUCCGCGCCGCAUUAGCUAGUUGGUAAGGUAACGGCUUACCAAGGCGACAAUGCGUAGCCGACCUGAGAGGGUGAUCGGCCACACUGGAACUGAGACACGGUCCAGACUCCUACGGGAGGCAGCAGUAGGGAAUCUUCCGCAAUGGGCGAAAGCCUGACGGAGCAACGCCGCGUGAGUGAUGAAGGUCUUCGGAUCGUAAAACUCUGUUAUUAGGGAAGAACAAAUGUGUAAGUAACUAUGCACGUCUUGACGGUACCUAAUCAGAAAGCCACGGCUAACUACGUG
rnacentral:rRNA from 1 species